GGGAUUACAGGCAUGAGCCACCGUGCCUGGCCAUAUCUUUAUAUUUUUAGGCAGCACAGUAUGGUGGUUAGGAGCUCAGAAUCUGGAGCCAAGUGACUCAGCUUUGCCACUUUCUUGCAGCAUGACCUACACAAGUGCCUUAAUCUCUCCCUGCCCCAUUUCCUCAUCUGUAAAAUUGGAUAACUGAGUUGUUCUCAGAAUUAAAUGAGUUAAUAUACAUAAAGCACCCAGAAAAUGGCAUACAUGAUAAACACUCUGGGGGUGUACUCUAUUAGUACUAACACUAUUAGUAUUAGCUUUCCACAGCUCUCCUAUUGCCUUCUGAAUCUAAACCUAAUUUCCUUUCUAGCUCUGCCCCUCUUUAUAACCUUCUUCCUCUUCUUUUCCAUAAAUGCUCCCUCAUCUACCCAAUCCUUCCACUUUAGGUUCUUCUAAGCUUUCUUCAGGUCCUCUUUUCCUAAUCUUUCCAGAUUUAUUUCUUAAAGGAAGGUAAUUAAUUAUUCUUAAAAUCCUCCUGUGGAUAACAAACACAGCCAUCCAUUAAAAACCCUAACCUUGGCCAGGCACGGUGGCUCAUACCUGUGACCCCAGCACUUUGGGAGGC
rnacentral:lncRNA from 1 species